rnacentral:lncRNA from 1 species
CAAGGACUUUUAAAGAACAUUAGCAUAGCUUGCACCGGAGGCGCAAUGCUAAACACACAGCGGAACUGCUGGGCACCUAUGUAGUCUUGGCUUUUGCUGUUUUGCUAAGUUUUGCAAAUUUUCUCUUU